rnacentral:rRNA from 1 species
CCUACGGGUGGCUGCAGUCGAGAAUUUUUCUCAAUGGGGGAAACCCUGAAGGAGCGACGCCGCGUGGGGGAUGAAUGGCUUCGGCCCGUAAACCCCUGUCAUUUGCGAACAAACCUGCAUUGUGAAUAGCUAUGCAGCUGAUUGUAGCAGAAGAGGAAGGGACGGCUAACUCUGUGCCAGCAGCCGCGGUAAUACAGAGGUCCCGAGCGUUGUUCGGAUUCACUGGGCGUAAAGGGUGCGUAGGUGGUAAGGUAAGUUUGGUGUGAAAGCUUCGA